rnacentral:rRNA from 1 species
AGAAGCUUGCUUCUCUUGAGAGCGGCGGACGGGUGAGUAAUGCCUAGGAAUCUGCUUGGUAGUGGGGGAUAACGUUCGGAAACGGACGCUAAUACCGCAUACGUCCUACGGGAGAAAGCAGGGGACGUUCGGGCCUUGCGCUAUCAGAUGAGCCUAGGUCGGAUUAGCUAGUUGGUGGGGUAAUGGCUCACCAAGGCGACGAUCCGUAACUGGUCUGAGAGGAUGAUCAGUCACACUGGAACUGAGACACGGUCCAGACUCCUACGGGAGGCAGCAGUGGGGAAUAUUGGACAAUGGGCGAAAGCCUGAUCCAGCCAUGCCGCGUGUGUGAAGAAGGUCUUCGGAUUGUAAAGCACUUUAAGUUGGGAGGAAGGGUUGUAGAUUAAUACUCUGCAAUUUUGACGUUACCGACAGAAUAAGCACCGGCUAACUCUGUGCCAGCAGCCGCGGUAAUACAGAGGGUGCAAGCGUUAAUCGGAAUUACUGGGCGUAAAGCGCGCGUAGGUGGUUUGUUAAGUUGGAUGUGAAAUCCCCGGGCUCAACCUGGGAACUGCAUUCAAAACUGACUGACUAGAGUAUGGUAGAGGGUGGUGGAAUUUCCUGUGUAGCGGUGAAAUGCGUAGAUAUAGGAAGGAACACCAGUGGCGAAGGCGACCACCUGGACUAAUACUGACACUGAGGUGCGAAAGCGUGGGGAGCAAACAGGAUUAGAUACCCUGGUAGUCCACGCCGUAAACGAUGUCAACUAGCCGUUGGAAGCCUUGAGCUUUUAGUGGCGCAGCUAACGCAUUAAGUUGACCGCCUGGGGAGUACGGCCGCAAGGUUAAAACUCAAAUGAAUUGACGGGGGCCCGCACAAGCGGUGGAGCAUGUGGUUUAAUU